rnacentral:rRNA from 1 species
GUGCCAGCCGCCGCGGUAAUACCGGCAGCCCGAGUGAUGGCCGAUCUUAUUGGGCCUAAAGCGUCCGUAGCUGGCUGCGCAAGUCCGUCGGGAAAUCCACUCGCCCAACGAGUGGGCGUCCGACGGAAACUGCACAGCUUGGGACCGGAAGACCCAACGGGUACGUCCAGGGUAGGAGUGAAAUCCCGUAAUCCUGGACGGACCGCCGAUGGCGAAAGCACGUUGGGAAGACGAAUCCGACAGUGAGGGACGAAAGCUAGGGUCUCGAACCGGAUUAGAAACCCCGGUAGUCC